rnacentral:misc_RNA from 1 species
GAUGAAGAACGUAGCGAAAUGCGAUAAGUAAUGCGAAUUGCAGAAUCCGUGAGUCAUCGAAUCUUUGAACGCACAUUGCGCCCUUUGGUAUUCCGAAGGGCAUGCCUGUUCGAGCGUCAUUAUCACCCCUCAAGCCCCGGCUUGGUGUUGGGCUCUCGGUGGUCGUCUCCGACCACCCGUCUCAGAGAUAGUGACGGCGUCCCAGAGGGAACCGGUACGAGGAGCUUUCACGAGCAUGUACGCGGGACGACUCUGCGGGCGACGGUCUUAUUUACUUUAUAUACAAGUGUUGACCUCGGAUCAGGUAGGAAUACCCGCUGAACUUAAGCAUAUCAAUAAGCGGAGGA